rnacentral:lncRNA from 1 species
UUUCCAAAGAUUAGAUACAGUUGGGGCUGCUGCUCAGUUCAAAUAUCCUUUUGUCAGAACUAAUUUACCAGAUGGUCUAUUAAUAAAGAUUUUUUUAAAUUUCUCCAGAAUUAGAAUAGUGUAAAGAAACACUCUUGUAUGCUAAUUCAGAGUAAUUUUUUUUUAAAUGCUGAUCUUAGAUUCUAUUUCAAGUGUUAAAAUAAUUACCAUCGUGUGUCAACAUUACUUUUGGUUGCUUAUGCAGUUGGUAUUUGUUUUCCUGACUUUUGUUGUUUGAGUUUAUGAAUUGAGCUGAGCCCUUUUAGUAUUCAAUAUUUCUGUUGUGCUUUACUGUCUGGUGCAGUGGAGGGAAGUUCCAAAACAAAAAUAUAUAUAUAUUUCAAACCUAAAAGUAAACUGUAUUUCUAUCAAUUUAUAUGUUUUUAAAAAAUCUACUUGUACCCUCAUUAUUUGGUAAAACAAACAAAAACUUCGAGCAACAUGACGGGAUCUCCUCAGUGCUAUGAGAGUGAAUGCAAAAUCUUUUGGACAGUCUCUUACAAAAAAAAAAUAUUAGAUAUAAUUAGGCAAAAUAAUCUAUGCUAAGAGAAAGGAUGAUAUGAAGUGUAUCAGUUGGCAAAAAGUAGCUAGCUCCACUGUUAUGAUUUUUAAUAUUGUUUCCAUUUCCCUUAGAUCAUGUAGUAGAUGGAUCACCACUUGGGAAAAGCCAUGAUACUGAGUCUUUGUCCUUAUUCUGCACUCUGGAGUGGGGCCUUGCUCUUUUGUUCUGGCUAUCUGGCACGUGGCUGCCAUCAGUAAUGGUGUGGCUUAGGGACACCUCGUGCUUGCCACUGGACAGAAUCAGCAGUCUGUUCCAUCCCGAGCUUCACUUAUUUUGCUUUCCACAGAGUGGCUGUCUUUCCUCCUUUCUGGAAUAAAUAGUUCUUGCCCUGAUUAACAAAUAUCCACUGAAGCCACCUGAACAUCUAAAGAAAAAUAGACUUUUCCCCUUCCGCUCCCCUCCCUGCAUCUCUGCUGUGUAACAGCUUUGCUGAGCUGCGUCCUGUUCUUCUGCUUCCCCACGUGUGCGUAACAGCUCUCCCCGGAUAGCUGCAAGCUGCUCUCUCUUCUCAUCAGAUGAAUAAAACAUCAUGGACUUACGUCA